rnacentral:rRNA from 1 species
AGGAUCAUUAAAAGAAUCUGUGCAUGCUUUAUGCGUAUCACAAUUCACACCCCCUCCGGGUAUCAUGCCUGUUGCUUCCGUUGGGUGCCACCCAACUUGGGAUUGGCACCGUCGUGAUGGGUCACGUACAGACAGCAAUGUUGGAGGUGACUGUCAAGGAUGGUUCUGGCGGAAGGCUCACAUCAAAACAUUUGCACUACCUUGCUUUCAGUCUGAACUUUGUUAAAAAUCGUUAAAACUUUCAACAACGGAUCUCUUGGUUCUCGCAUCGAUGAAGAACGCAGCGAAAUGCGAUAAGUAGUGUGAAUUGCAGAAUUCAGUGAAUCAUCGAAUCUUUGAACGCACAUUGCGCCUCCUGGUAUUCCGGGAGGCAUGCCUGUUCGAGCGUCAUAAAAACCACCUCAAGCUCUUUUGCUUGGUUAUGAAGGCUGAGCGGUGCUGUUGGCACACCUCACCUUCGAAAUUCAGAGGCUGACUGGCCCGUGUUCUCCUGGCGCGAUAAGUUAACUCUUUCGCCUGGAUUUACAAGGUCGUCUUGCCGCAGAACUUCAAUCUUAUGUGUUGACCUCGGAUCAGGUAGGGAUACCCGCUGAACUUAAGCAUAUCAAUAAGCGGAGGAAAAGAAACCAACAGGGAUUGCCUCAGUAACUGCGAGUGAAGCGGCAAAAGCUCAAAUUUGAAAUCUGACGUCUUUGACGUUCGAGUUGUAAUUUGGAGGGGCACUUUCGGAGCUGCCACCGUUCUAAGUUCCUUGGAACAGGACGUCUUAGAGGGUGAGAAUCCCGUGCCUGGAUGGCUGGCCAGUUCCAUGUGAGGUGUCUCCGACGAGUCGAGUUGUUUGGGAAUGCAGCUCAAAAUGGGUGAUAAAUUUCAUCUAAAGCUAAAUACUGGCGAGAGACCGAUAGCGCACAAGUAGAGUGAUCGAAAGAUGAAAAGCACUUUGAAAAGAGAGUUAAAAAGUACGUGAAAUUGUUGAAAGGGAAGCGCUUGAAAUCACACUCAACCUCUGAUGAUCAACUGUGUUUCUGCGCAGUGCACUUGCCGGAGGUUGUCCCAGCAUCGGUUCUGACGGUGGGAUAAAGGCUUGAGGAAUGUGGCUCCACGAUAUCGGGGAGUGUUAUAGCCUUGAGUGCAAUGCUGCCUGUUGGGACCGAGGACCGCGCUUUAUGC